rnacentral:rRNA from 1 species
AGUGAACGCUGGCGGUAGGCCUAACACAUGCAAGUCGAACGGCAGCACAGUAAGAGCUUGCUCUUACGGGUGGCGAGUGGCGGACGGGUGAGGAAUACAUCGGAAUCUACUUUUUCGUGGGGGAUAACGUAGGGAAACUUACGCUAAUACCGCAUACGACCUACGGGUGAAAGCAGGGGAUCUUCGGACCUUGCGCGAUUGAAUGAGCCGAUGUCGGAUUAGCUAGUUGGCGGGGUAAAGGCCCACCAAGGCGACGAUCCGUAGCUGGUCUGAGAGGAUGAUCAGCCACACUGGAGCUGAGGCGCGGUCCAGACUCCUACGGGACGCAGCAGUGGGGAAUAUUGGACGAAGGGCGCAAGCCUGAUCCAGCCAUACCGCGUGGGUGAAGAAGGCCUUCGGGUUGUAAAGCCCUUUUGUUGGGAAAGAAAAGCAGCAGGUUAAUACCCCGCUGUUCUGACGGUACCCAAAGAAUAAGCACCGGCUAACUUCGU